CCCGUAGACGUGCCGGCCGUCUGCCGGGCAACCUUUCGGCACGAUUUGACACGCCGGAAUGCGGUCGUUGACGAUCCACCAGUGACCUAUUUUGCACGGACCCUAUAUAGUCAAGCGCAGCAGAGUUGGUGGCAUUGUUUGGUCCUGUCCGAAUAGAGAAAUGCGCUGCCGUUGUUAUUAUUCAUUUGGCAAUCGCAAAUUCCGAGAUUGUCCGGCCCGUCGUACAGUUGCUGAUGGAUCGGACAGGGAUUGCUGGCGCUUGACCGAUGACGUCCUUGAUAAGUGACGCAACGUUUCCAGGGUGGAUAGAACGUAUCGUCGGGUGCUUUACAACGUCUAGCUCUGCUGUGCGAUAUUAUUUUGAUUUGAAUUAAAUCAAAUUAGAAAAUUCAAUCAAGUGACAACUUGCUUGGCUCGGAAGCGAAUGGCGGCCACAUCUUUGCGCAAUUCCUCCUGGUAUUUGAAUUCCUUAUCGAGCUCAUCGUCGCCGAUGAGAUUGUCGUAAAUGGUCGAACUUAAAUGAAUUAUUUUUGGCCAGACGACCCUGUCGAGCUGGUCGAGAAAGAGUUCAGUUUCUCUUUGAUUUUUGGCCAGUCGCGAACGUUCCAGCCCGUCGCUGAUGAAGUUCAUGUCACUCACCAAACGUCCCCGCUGGGCCACCAUUUUCUGCAAACUGUUGAAACAUGAAAUAAUUCAAUUUCUUGAUAAUUUUUUAAUUCCUUAUUAACCUGCCCAUUGACGAGGCUGCCGAGCAAUGGCCAGCCCAACUCAGGACGAUGGCCAGCAGAGCCCCAACAAAGUAGGUAACCAAUGUCAACUUCAUAAUUGCUGCUGCUGCUAGGCCACACCCAACACAGCAGUUCUGGUUUCGACAAGAGUUCAGCGCAGAGAAAACUUUCCGGUUCAAGACAACAAAACUCUCCAAAAUCGAUGGAUGACUCGAUACUCACUAUAUCCAGCCAACUGAACUCGAAAGUCUUUCGGAAAUAAUUGGAAAAAACACUUUCGAAAUAUCGAUUCGAAUUUGAUUAUAUUAGCCAACACCUCACCAAACUGCGUAUAUGCAAAUUCGGGGUCCUGUCGUCUGCUGCGACGCUCCUAAUGACGACAACCAACCAAACGUUACACACUGCUGGGCAAUAGGCGUGGAACCGCCAAAAUGGCAAUCACCCGAAAUAGCCAGUGGGUUAUUUUAA